GAUGAAGAACGUAGCGAAAUGCGAUAAGUAGUGUGAAUUGCAGAAUUCAGUGAAUCAUCGAAUCUUUGAACGCACAUUGCGCCUUCUAGUAUUCUGGGAGGCAUGCCUGUUUGAGCGUCAUUAAACCUCUCUCAAGUAUGAUUACUUGGAUGUGAAGGAAGAGUACCUUAAACUAAGGAGUGUUCUCCUUUGAAAUUGAUUAGCAGAUGGUAAUGUUAUUAAAUCCCUGAUGUUGUAAGAAAUAACAGUGGUUUUGUAGACUAUUAUCUAGCUUUAAAUUAUAAUUUUUAUUAUGGUUGACCUCAAAUCAGGUAAGGAUACCCGCUGAACUUAAGCAUAUCAAUAAGCGGAGGA
rnacentral:misc_RNA from 1 species